AUGAACGCUGGCGGCGUGCCUAAUACAUGCAAGUCGAGCGAACAGACGAGGAGCUUGCUCCUCUGACGUUAGCGGCGGACGGGUGAGUAACACGUGGAUAACCUACCUAUAAGACUGGGAUAACUUCGGGAAACCGGAGCUAUUCCGGAAUAAUAUAUGGACCGGCAUGUUUCAAUAGUAAAAGACGGUUUUGCUGUCACUUAUAGAUGGAUCCGCGCCGCAUUAGCUAGUUGGUAAGGUAACGGCUUACCAAGGCAACGAUGCGUAGCCGACCUGAGAGGGUGAUCGGCCACACUGGAACUGAGACACGGUCCAGACUCCUACGGGAGGCAGCAGUAGGGAAUCUUCCGCAAUGGGCGAAAGCCUGACGGAGCAACGCCGCGUGAGUGAUGAAGGUCUUCGGAUCGUAAAACUCUGUUAUUAGGGAAGAACAAAUGUGUAAGUAACUAUGCACGUCUUGACGGUACCUAAUCAGAAAGCCACGGCUAACUACGUG
rnacentral:rRNA from 1 species